CCUUGUUACCCAGCUAAGCAAGCAUAGUUGCGUUCACAUUUUGUGGUCCUAGAAAUCUUCAUUCUUAUAUACCCUCCAUGCUCUGGACUCCUUUGAAGUGUGCGUGUGCAAAGGGGCAUUCUCUGUGAGAUAACGAAUCUAGGCGGAAGGUUUUGUUGAGGGAAGGCUAAAAGAAAGCUGUUGCUGGAGUUACAGCAUCAAAGCCUGAGCCCUGACAGCCAGAGAUCUCCGUGACUUACAGAUGACCGCCCUCAGCUCUGCAGCUGAGACUGUUUGAGUGAAGAGGGACCAGAACCCAGAGCCGAGCGUGGCUGGCUGGGCUGCACAUCCAGAUGGCCUGUCUUAGUUAAGACUCUGAUGGAGUCUGCACUCCAUCUGCCUUUUGAAUUAAAUCGCAAGCUCCAGUCUCCCCAAUAGGGGAACAGCUUGUGUUGGCAAACCCUUCUGUGGACAACAAUGAUAAACACCGGAUUAAAAAGAAAACGGCCGUAGAAGACAUCGGAGGACACUGGGAGGCUAGGAGGGUGGUCCCAGAGAGGCCAUGAGCAAAGAGGACCCUGCCGGUCUAAGACACCUGCUCAUCCACCUUCCAUGAAUACCUAUGCUCGCCAACUGAUGGAUCCAAACCAUAAAGAUACACUCGAAGGACUCGAAUAAACCUGAGAAAGGACAAAGUAGAAAGGGGAGGCCUAGAUCCUGGGCUGACCCCUGAACUGUGUGCUUCUGAACAAGACACAACUAGGUGAGAAUAUAUGCAGUACC
rnacentral:lncRNA from 1 species